GCAGUAGCAAUACUGAGUGGCAAACGGGUGAGUAUAAUGUGGGAAUCUGCCUUUUGGUUUGGAAUAACACGGGGAAACUUGUGCUAAUACCGAAUAAGCCUUUACAGGGAAAGUUUUAACGCCGAAAGAUGAGCCCGCACUUGAUUAGCUAGUUGGUAAGGUAAAAGCUUACCAAGGCAACGAUCAAUAGCUGUUCUUAGAGGAAGACCAGCCACAUUGGGACUGAGACACGGCCCAGACUCCUACGGGAGGCAGCAGUGGGGAAUCUUGCACAAUGGGGGAAACCCUGAUGCAGCGAUGCCGCGUGAGUGAAGAAGGCCUUUGGGUUGUAAAACUCUUUCGUCGGGGAAGAAAAUGACUGUACCCGAAUAAGAAGGUCCGGCUAACUUCGUGCCAGCAGCCGCGGUAAUACGAAGGGACCUAGCGUAGUUCGGAAUUACUGGGCUUAAAGAGCUCGUAGGUGGUUAAAAAAGUUGAUGGUGAAAUCCCAAGGCUCAACCUUGGAACUGCCAUCAAAACUUUUUAGCUAGAGUGUGAUAGAGGUAAGUGGAAUUUCUAGUGUAGAGGUGAAAUUCGUAGAUAUUAGAAAGAACACCAAAUGCGAAGGCAACUUACUGGGUCACAACUGACACUGAGGAGCGAAAGCAUGGGUAGCGAAGAGGAUUAGAUAC
rnacentral:rRNA from 1 species